rnacentral:rRNA from 1 species
GAUGAACGCUGGCGGCGUGCCUAAUACAUGCAAGUCGAGCGAACAGACGAGGAGCUUGCUCCUCUGACGUUAGCGGCGGACGGGUGAGUAACACGUGGAUAACCUACCUAUAAGACUGGGAUAACUUCGGGAAACCGGAGCUAAUACCGGAUAAUAUAUUGAACCGCAUGGUUCAAUAGUGAAAGACGGUUUUGCUGUCACUUAUAGAUGGAUCCGCGCCGCAUUAGCUAGUUGGUAAGGUAACGGCUUACCAAGGCGACGAUGCGUAGCCGACCUGAGAGGGUGAUAGGCCACACUGGAACUGAGACACGGUCCAGACUACUACGGGAGGCAGCAGUAGGGAAUCUUCCGCAAUGGGCGAAAGCCUGACGGAGCAACGCCGCGUGAGUGAUGACGGUCUUCGGAUCGUAAAACUCUGUUAUUAGGGAAGAACAAAUGUGUAAGUAACUAUGCACGUAUUGACGGUAACUAAUCAGAAAGCCACGGCUAACUACGUG